rnacentral:lncRNA from 1 species
GCGGCUUUGUGGCGGCAGCGGACCGUGGAGGCCGGGUGCAGCCCCGUCGGCUGCGCGCUCUCUGCAGAAAAGGAUUUUCUAUGCUCCCCGCCCAUCACUUGGAUCUCGUCUGGGGAGGGGCGGAUUUUUUUUUCUGGAAGUACCCUUCUUCUUCACGGUGGAGGAUUUAAGGCUGGGCUCCAAUCGAGGCGGAGGCUGCAGGGCCCGCGGGGCGCCCCCCACGCCCGGCGCACGCCUGCCUGGAGCCUGGGAAGGCGCAGCCCCGGCGGGGGGGGCCGUGCACCCCCGGAGGCAGCAGCGGCGAUAAACCUGCCAGUAAUUUCAGCAAAUGAAACGUGGAACGCGUCAAGGCCAGAGGAUGGAAAAGGCUCCGGUUUUGAUAAAAGGAGGCCUGCUUGGCUUGGAAUCCUCUCUCCUGCUGGUUGGAAGAUGCAAAGAUGUUUCCAGAGAGGGGCUGAAGAAUUGAGGGGAAAGAAAUGAGCCCAGUAUGAGUCCCCUUUCAGGGCUGAGCGCAUAUAAAACCAAACAACUUGGAACAGCUCCAAGAGAGGGGAUUAAAGCAACAUGUUAUUCUGAGUGAUUGCUUAAUUUAUUGAGCUGCGGCUGGAUCUGUAAUGAAAUACAGCCCUUGUAACUGAUAACCUCCUGCUGCAAUUGAACUUCCACAAUUAAGGAAUAUUUUCCGAGUUUCUCUGGAACGGCUCUGAAUUUCUAGCCUCUGUGACAGGGUGCUUCUGAACAUUUGUUUUCCAGGCAAUUUUUUUUUUCUUGAGUAUCAGACUGAUGUUAAUAAAUAAGCAGCAUUUUAUUGAGUGCUUUGUGGGAACCAGGAACUUUAUAUACAUUAUAUCUAAUCCUGACACUAAUCCUGACAAUAUCCCGUGAAAUAACCCCUAUUAUUCCCUAUUUUAUGGAUGUGAAGCCACGAGACGUUCGGUCAUUUUCUAGAGUGGUGCUGUCCAAGACAGUAGCUGUUAUGGCUCCUUGUGGUUAUUGAUGUGUAAAUUAGUUAAAAUUAAAUAAAUUUUAAAGUUGACUCCCUAGGUUGCACUAACAAUGAGUUCAAGUGCCCAGCAGCCUUGUGUGGCUGAUGGCUACCACGUUGGACAGUGCAGAUAUAGACCAUUUGAAGGUUGCGCGAGUGCUAUUGAUCAGCACUGACUCAGAUUUCCUUUUUUUUUUUUUUUUUUUUUUUUGAGAUGGAGGCUUGUCUAUCAUCCAGGUUGGAGUGCAAUGGUGCAGUCCGCUCACUGGAACCACCACC